rnacentral:ncRNA from 1 species
CUUUUAAGUCAGCUUUCCUUAUCAUUAUAAAAUAAUUCACCUAAUAUUGAAUUGUUCACCCACUAAUAGGUAACAUGAGUUAGGAUUAGGUUAUUAUGAGACUAGUU